rnacentral:lncRNA from 1 species
UGCAGCUAAUGUUUUAUGAUGGAGGAGUCAUGCUCCCGUUUAUUAGGGUGGUGUAUUAUGUUAGCACUCUCCAGAAGAACAAAAGAAAUAUGAACAUGGAUAUUUAUUUUAAGAACUUGACUCAUGGAAAUGUGGGGGCUUGAUAAGUCCAAAAUUUGAUCUGGGUAACUUCCUGAAGACUCAGGAAGGAGUGGCAGAUGGAGGCCGAAGAAUGUCUGCUAAGCUUUUAAAAUGUUAUUAUAUUUUUCAGUGAUAAAAUUUCCAUUUUUUACAUCUUCUGUUUUUUGUUGAGUCUACUUUUUUGUUUUUUUCUUUUUUAAUUAAAUUAUUUAUUCAUCAUAGUUUGUUAUGCAUGAUGGCAGAAUGCAAUUCGUUUCAUAUUACACCAAGAGAGCACAAUUUUUCAAGUCACUGAUUGCAUAUAAAGUAUUGUCUCACCAUUCUUGUAUUUAGGGUAAUGAUGUCUAACUCAUUCCACCAUCAUUCGUACCCCUCUGCCCCUUUCCUUCCCCCCCCCUCCCUUUGUCCUAACUAAAGUUCCUUCAUUACUCCUAUGCUCUCCCCCUCCCACUCAUUGCCAGUAUGAGUCAGCAUUCCUUUGGUGGAAUGUGGUUUGUGUUGGGUACCAGAGGUUGAACUUUGGGCUGCCAAACCCCUGAGCCACAUUCCAUCUCCCCCCCUUCUUUUGUUUUAUUUUUUUAAAAUUUGACACAGGGCUUCUCUAAGUUACUUAGGGC